UCUUCGUCUUAAUCUUUGGAACAUCAUUGGUGAAUGGAGGAAAAAAUAAGUGAUUUUGCCUAUCUAUAUGCUUGGUGCUUUUCAGGUAUUAAGUUCUCACUUCAAUGAAACUUUGCAUGAAUACAUAAAUGUGACUUUUAUCCCCCUAGGCAUCCUGUUCUCAAGGAGGUGGAGCAAUCAACUUCUCCCUGAAUAAAUGGGAGAUGACACAGGAAGCUGCAUGUCACAGUUGAUCGAAAAUGACAUAGACAUUGAAAAUCAGGAUUUUGGCCCACCUCUGAGCUCCCUGUUGAAUGGCGAUCACAAUCAGGAGAAAUGCAAAUGAAAAAUGAAAAAAAGUUCCUGGGAUUGGAUCUAAUGAACUUACACUAUAAAGUGGCUGUUGUGAGGAUCAAAUGAGACCAUAAUUGCAAAGCACGUAGCACGAUGCCUGGCACAUAAUAAAUCCUACAUUACUGACCGGGAGCCUGACAAACACAUGAUGGUCUUGGGAUGCUUCCUAGAAAUGAGAAUGUGAACAGAAAAGCAGGAAGGCCACAGAGAAUACAAGAAGACCCAAUGUAAGGGGAUAUAGAUUGCAUGAUAUGGGAAACCGUUUGUCACAACAAUAUAAUUUCACUGAAACCUUUGAAAGGACUUUUUUCUUUUUCUAAAUGUUAUACAAAGGAGGAUUUAUAAUACUCUGCCCACAUGCUUCUCCAAGGGAUAGAUGAAUUACAGAAGUUAUUUGGUCAUUUAGACAAUAAGAUCACAGCACCCAAUGCCAGCAUCAUCCAUGUCAUACAAUCAAUUCUGAAGUUCUAAAGAGAGACCUUAAGAGUGUCCUUGUAUCACUUUUUCUGACUACCUGGAAAUGCUGUGUGACUUCUCCAUAAAAGAGUCUUUUUGAUAAGGUCAAUGAGACCCAGAGAGAUAAAGAUGCUCAUUCAAGAUCACAAACCCAGCUCUGUACCAGAAUUGAAGUUUUCUGCUUCUCAUUCCAGUGCUCCCCUUCUUCUCCACAUUGACUGAUUUGCAUAAGACAAACAUUGCUUGUUGGCUAAAUUCUCAAUGACUUUAAAGAUAAAAUUCUGUUUCAAAGUGGGUUAAACAGCACAGCUCCAAACCUAUCUCUGGAAGUUUGACCUUGGACAAAAUCCCUUUGUCUUGACAUCUUCGUCUGCAAAAUACAGAUAAGACUCUUGAUAGGUUUCUCAGAACUCUAUAUGGCAUAAUUGCAAUAAAAAUGAUGGAGUUGUGGAAUUCCCCUAUGCUGGAAAUAUUUUUACAAAUAUUUUACACUGGCCUGGACUUGUGACCCACUUUCUUGGACUCUAUUCAGCUACCUGUAGGCUCAGUUAAGUGUCAGGGUUACAGUGAACAUUGGAGCUGGCCAUCUCUAAAGCAGGACUCUGGGAUCAAAAGCAAGAUACAAAGCAGGAGGUCACGGUAUAAGGUAGGAAGUCAGAAACUGGAAUGAGGCUAAGUAGCAUGGAUGAUGGGAACAGUAGGUUCAGGCACUCAAAAUGACCAGAAUCAGAACCUAAUACCUCCCUUUGAAUAAGAGUCAAUCCCUCUGGAGCAAACUCUAAAGCAAUAAAGCAAAGGUUGUAAAUAGGAACAAGAGGAAUGUCUCCUGAACUGGAGAAGUCAGAAUGCUUGCACAAUACUGUCCAGAAAUGAUAAUGUUGCACCAAUAAGACCCCCGGGCUUUCUGCCCUUCUGUCAAUAAAUUAGUCAAGUAAUGAACAUUUACUAAGGGUUUUCAAUAUGCCAAGCAACUGUGCUCAACAUGAAGAUACAAAAAAGAUGCAGACAGACCCUGCUCUCAAGGAAAUUACAAUCUGAUCGACCAAUAUCCUGAGUCCAUGGAUGCAGUUAAGUCUGAAAAAUGAAGUGAUUGUACAUCAUCAGCAGGAUCUGUGCUGUGGAUCUAUCAUUCUAGUCAUCAUCAUCAUCAUCAUCAUUUACAUAGCACUUUACAUCCAGGAUCUCAUUUGCUCCUCACAGCAGAAUCACUUUAACAAAUGAAAGGGACAUCUUUGAAUGAUCCAGGAGCCCACUUCAUGAAGUUCCCUUCACCUAGCUCCCCCUGACCCUGAGAAUGAGCCCUCUGGGGAGACUCCAGGAAGACAGCCUGAUGACCCCCCCGCCCCUCAUAACAGAAGCCAGUAAAACCGGUUUUCCAGGGCCUGUGAUUAUGGUUGCCUAGUUUCUCUCCCCAUUGCCCAGUUAAAGCAAAUCAUUUGUGGUUCUCAGUAGUUGCUGUCAGACCAUUCCCUACUGCUGUUUAUCCAUCCCACAGAGGAGAGGCUCUUUGAAGCCAGAGACUAUGCCUUCUUUAGCCUAAUCUUACAAAUAUACUAAGUAUCCACAAUUAUCAAGGCAGUCCUUUGCGACCAAAGGCAUGUACUCAGUGCACAUCUGACUCAAAAGAAGGAUACAGUUUGCUGUCAGUAAAUAAAUAGUUCUUCCUUACCAAAUGAUCUAGCAGUUGGACCAGUGACAUUCAGCUUAUCAGCACCAUUCUUAAAUUAGGUAUGUUAAUUACCAAGAAUUACAAGUAGAUUUAAACAAAGAUCAUUUUUCCCAUGGAAUGAAAUAAGUAAUCAUAAAAUUAAAAAGUUAUCCUAAUCAAAAACACAGGGAUCCUUAUUUAGAAUUUUCAAAACUGAACCAAAAAAAAAGAAGACCCUUUUCUCUCUCUCUCUCUCUCUCUCUCUCUCUCUCUCUUUCUCUCUCUCUUUCUCUGUGUGUGUGUGUGUGUGUGUGUGUCUGUCUCUCUGUCUUUUUUUGUCUCUGUGUCUCUCUGUCUUUUUCUGUAUUUCUCUCUUUCUCUUCUUUCUCUCUCUCUUCCUGUCUGUCUCUCUCAUUUUCCCUGAAGAAGCAUUAUCCUUUUACUAAGACUUUUUUCCAAAGGAUUGUCAACAGUAGAUUUCUACUAUCCACAACUCUGUGGAGGCUGAUUUGGGUAACGUCUUAGAACUCACAAUCUGGAAUUACCCUCUUGUUUUCAAUUUCCUUGCCGUAAGCCAUAUGGGACAUAGGAUGAAAAAACUGUUAACAUAAGGGGAAGCUGAUAUUUACUUUCUAUCUCACGACCCAUGCCGAUAGUCAUUUUGGUUGAUUAUUAUAUACUUCCAAAAAUCUCAUCUGACAUGAUCGUGAUCACAAACAAGGAGGAAAAGCAUUUUAGGCAUGGGCAGCAGUUGGAAAUUGAAAUGUCCUUAAAAAAAAAGAACAUUAUUGACAAGUAACCAUUUUCCUUCUACUGAAGCACUUCAGUGAAGGGGAAACCCACAACUUCUUAUGGCAACUCCUAAGAGUUGGUGCUGAUUGUUACAAAAUUAUUGCAAAGUCAAGCCUAAAUAUCCCCAUCUAUAUCUUCUCCUCAUUCACUUCUCUGAGAUCUAUUUACUUUUACCCUCCAGGACCAAGGAGAGUAUCUGUGCCUUCAAAUAAUGAAAGGAAUUUCUCCCACUUUCCUCCAUUGAAUAAAUAUAUAAUGAGUACUUGUAAUACAUAAGGCAUUAUGCUAGGUGCCAAAGAGAUAGAAAGCUAGUUGUUGCCUUCACAAAACUUAAAAUCUACUUGUGGAAGAGAAGACAUAAAUGCAAAUAACUACAAUGAAACCAUCAUAUAGGAAAGUAAAGUGAGACUCCAGAAAAGAGAUAAAUAACUUCUGAAUAGAGGAGAUGGAAGAGGAGGUCAAGUAAGGCUUGCUAGAUUCUGGAUUUUGAAAUUUGGGUAGAUAUUUGUUAGAUACAGAUGUUAAAUGGAGAUGAAAGGUCCAUGAGAAUUCCAAGAGGAAGGGAUUUCAAAAACACAGUUACCAAGAUGGUAAAAAGUAAUAUAAGUUUAAAGGACAACAAACAGUUCAAUCUGAAGCAUAGCAGAUAUGUAGGAAGUACUAUGAAACAGGGUUGGGGAAAAAAAAGGAUAUCAAGCUAAGGAGUUUGAAAUUUAUUUCAAGCAAUGGGGAGACUUUGAAUGUUUUUGAGCUUUGGGUUGAUGUGAGCAGAGGUAUUGCUUUAUUAAGAUUAACAUGGUUUAGUCGUUGUCUUCAUUCUUGAAGAGGAUCAAAAUGACAUUACUAUGUCAGAGUUGAGUUACAGUGUGUCCAACUGUGGCUGAUUAGACCAAUACGAAUUUGGAAUGCUUGGCCAGAGGUUGGUCACAAAUAGUCUCUAUGAACAUUUGGGGCAGUGUCUCUGACUUUGUGCAUCUCGUGUUUCUUCUGAGCUAAUUCAAUUCUGCUUUGCUCAUAGAGCACAGCAAUUUCUCUGAAAAGGGAAUGUUAUGCUGGACCUGUCCUAUGCCAAUGUCCCUCACAUUAUACAACCAGUUCUAAAGUUCUUGAGAUGUUGAAAAUGUAUCGCUUUUUCUGACCACUUUGUGGGCACUUACCAUAUGUGAGUUCUCCAUAAAAUAAUCUUUUUGGCAAGUAUACAUUUGGUAUUAGAACAAUGUGGCCACCCCAAUGGAGUUGUUCUUUGGUCAGUAGAAUUGGAAUGCUUUGCAGUUUAGUUCAAGAAAGGACUUCAGUGUCUUGUAUCUUAUCCUGCCAGGAGAGCUUCAGAAUCUUCCUAAGACAAUUCACAUGGAAGUGAUUCAGUUUCCUGGCAUGGUGCUCAUAUACUGUAUUGUAUAGGCAUAUAACGAUGAAAUCAGCAGUUAUAGUAAAUGAAGAAGUUUCAAAUGCUGUGGAUAAGUUCUCUUACCUUGGCAGUAUAUUUUCCAGGGAUGUCCACAUUGAUAAUAAGGUUGCCCACAUGCAUUGCCAGAGCUAGCUCAGUGUUUUAGAGAGGGGAGGACUGACUACCAAAUUGAAAGUCUACAGAGCCAUUGUGUUGAUCUCUUUGUUGUAUGCCUGUGAAAUCUGGAAAGUAUACUAGAGCCAUGCCAGGAAACUGAAGAUUAACAUAAUGUUUAUAAUAGAUUAGAAAGGGCAGAGACUGGAGGUAAAGAAAUCAAGCAAGAGGUUAUUGCAGGAAGAAAAAUAAUAACGGCCUUAACAUGAUGACACAGAUGUGUAGAAAGGAAGGCAUGGACUCAAAAGAUAUUAUGAAGAUGUGUUGACUGGUGAUAGGAUUUAGAAAUCUGGACAGGUAUAAGGGAUGAGGAGAGGAGUAGAUUCAAAGAUAACUCUGAGGAAAGUCAACUGAAAGAGUAGCAGGUUUGGGCAAGAAUAUGAUUAUAACUUUGAUUUUGAUAAAUUUUAAAGAGACAGCUAGAAGGUUUCAACAGGCAGUACUUAGGAAAGAAGUUCAGUUUAGUCCACCAGAUUUAGGAAGCAUUUACAUAUAAUCUGAACUUUUAUAUAACAUUAUAUAAACACACAUAUAUAUAACGUUAUAAAAUGAUACAAUAUUAGAGAGAAAAAAGCAGAACACAGAAUUCUAGAGAAUACUAAUUUAAGGGACUGAGAGAAGUAGAAAAGAAGCAGUUAGAGAAAUAGAGAACAAAGGUACUACAAUAUCUGUUUCACAGAUAUUGUAUUCACUCCACAACCAGAAGUGAAGAAUUUCAAGAAGGAAGGAGUGGUCAAUGCAGUUAUAUUAUGAAGAGAGGUUAAUUAAAGUAAAGACUACUAAGAGACUAUUGGAUUUAGAAAUUAGUAGUUCACAAUGACCUUUGGCAGAAAAAAAUAGGUAAAGAGAUAGAAUUUAUAAAUCAGUCUUGUAAAUAGUUAAGGAACAAAUAAAUAUAAAGGUAAUGAGUAUAGCCCAUUAUUUAGAAAUGUUUGGUAAUGGAAUGAAAGGGAGGGGGAAGAUGAUUUGAAAUAAGAAUGCAUGGCAAAAUCAAAGAGAAACUUUUUUAAGGGCAGAGGAAACAAAUAUUUUUGUAGGUAGAAAAAAAGAGAUUAAAGAGACACAAGAGCCUCUCUUUAAUCAAGAAUUUAAGAUGAGCAACAUUUUUUCAUCCAACACGAGGAAAGGAAUAAAGAGGAAAAGUUUAAUUACUUUUGUUUUUGGCAAUUAAGAAACCAUAAGUAAAGGGAGAGAGAGGUUUCAGUUAUGUAAUGAAGUUAGAAGCCAAUUUUCAGAGGGCUUAGAAUAUAGUAAAAGGAGAGAAAACAAAGGCAUUGAACGUAGGUAGUUUUCCAAGGAAUUUAGUUGAGAAGGCAGAAAACCCAGAGGAUAAUAUCUUCUGCAAUUCUGUUGCAUUUCAUAUCUAUUUCUAGUCUUUCUUCCUAUGUCUUCCAUCAGAAUUCUUGGCUAGCUUAGCUGUAUCUCAAACUAAAUUUUCUAUAGACUCAUUCCCCACCCCAUCCCAAUUGCUUUUGAAAGCAAAACUAAUUAUCUUCUUCUAUCCAUCUGUUUUUCAAAUGAGUUCAUGCUGAAAUUGUUAUAUUCCAUAUCAUUAGCCUUCAUAUAGUGCUUUUUUAUGUAGCAUUUAUUUAGUGCUUUAAGGUUUACAAAUUUCACAAUUAUUUCAUUUCAUCCUCAAAAAAAAAAAAAAAAAAAAAACAAAACUGAGAAGUAGGUGCUACCAUUAACCCCAUUUUGCAGAUAAGAAAACUGAGACAAACAGAGGCUCAAUAACUUCUCCACAGUCAUACAUCAACUAGAUGUAUGAAGUGAGCUUUCAAGUCAUGUGAUGCUCAAUCCAUUGCACCAACUCCCUGCCCAGAGCACCAGAGUUUAUUCAGUGAAAUUGGCUUCUGUUCCCUUUUGGUCUUUACAUGACAUAUGGAUAGAAAACCGAACUUGAAAUCAAGAAGACCUGAGCUACAACUUUGCUCUGAUGCUUAUUAAUUGUAGAACUACAAUUGCUUAACUACAGAACUACAACUACUUAAACUGAGUCUUAUUUCCUUUGCUGUAAAAAUGGUUUUAACAGUGUUUGUGAUACCUCCCUCACAGGGAGGUUAUGAAGUAUCAAUGAGAUAAAAUCUAUAAUGCUUUUUGUACAUCUUAAAUCAUUAUAUAGAAUAAUAUUUCUGGUGAAUGAAAUUGAGAUAAACAGUCAAUUUGUCAUCUUUUUUUCUAUUUUCAAUUUUUUGAAAUUUUCUACCGUUCUUCAAUAGAUAUGAGGACAAAAUGUGUGCCAAGAUGAAGGCAAUAUGACUAUUAUAAAUACUCUAACCAUAAAGGACAUAUGAAAAAAGGUGCUAUUUGCAUCUAGAGAAGGAAUUGAUAAAUAAAAAUAUGUGUGGAAUGAUUUUACAUAUAUACAAAUUUAUUUGUGUCUAUAGUAGUCAUCUCUAAGACAUGAAGGGAAGGGGAGGAAGAGAAAUUUACAUGAUCACUUUAUUA
rnacentral:lncRNA from 1 species